GACAGCAAGACAGAGUCCCCCAGGCCAAACUGCAAAUCUGCAAAUCAUGGUGUAAGGUGGAGGUAAAUAAUAAAGUAGUAGAAAAGGAGAACAGAGGGAGCAGUACUGAUGGUUCCCAUCACUCCUUGUUAAGGCUGCUCUGAGAGUCCACUGAAAUACCCAGGAGCACAGCCUUGGUUUUGGCCCUGAAUGCUUCUUAGAAGAGAAACUGCUACCUAGCCUAGCGUCUUCACUUCUGCUCUGCUGCCUCAGAAAGGAAUGGAUAAAAAUCUGUCUCUUGGCUCCACACACGUGACAGCCCUCAAGGAAGGGAAGGUAAGUAGGGGCUGUCAAAGAAGCCUUUAUUCUCUAG